rnacentral:rRNA from 1 species
CCUACGGGACGCACCAGUGGGGAAUAUUGGACAAUGGGCGAAAGCCUGAUCCAGCGAUGCCGCGUGUGAAGAAGGUCUUCGGAUUGUAAAGCACUUUCGACGGGGACGACGAUGACGGUACCCGUAGAAGAAGCCCCGGCUAACUUCAUGCCAGCAGCCGCGGUAAUACGAAGGGGGCUAGCGUUGCUCGGAAUGACUGGGCGUAGAGGGCGCGUAGGCGGUUUAUGCAGUCAGAUGUGAAAUCCCCGGGCUUAACCUGGGAACUGCAUUUGAGACGCAUAGACUAGAGGUCGAGAGGGGGUUGUGGAAUUCCCAGUGUAGAGGUGAAAUUCGUAGAUAUUGGGAAGAACACCGGUGGCGAAGGCGGCAACCUGGCUCGAUACUGACGCUGAGGCGCGAAAGCGUGGGGAGCAAACAGGAUUAGAUACCCCUGUAGUC